rfam:Thielavia terrestris NRRL 8126 chromosome 4, complete sequence.
GUCACUUUGGCGGAGUGGUUAACGCGCUGCCCUGCUAUUUAGGAGAUAGCUUGUUAAGGCAGUUCCUUCGGGAGCGCAGGUUCGAAUCCUGCAGGUGACG